GAUGAACGCUAGCGGCAGGCUUAAUACAUGCAAGUCGAGGGGCAGCACGGAUAGCAAUAUUUGGUGGCGACCGGCGCACGGGUGCGUAACACGUAUACAACCUACCUAUAACAGGGGGAUAGCCUUUCGAAAGAGAGAUUAAUACCCCGUAAUAAAUUGAGUGGCAUCACUUGAUUUUGAAAGCUACGGCGGUUAUAGAUGGGUAUGCGUCCUAUUAGCUAGUUGGUGAGGUAACGGCUCACCAAGGCGACGAUAGGUAGGGGAUCUGAGAGGACCAACCCCCACACUGGUACUGAGACACGGACCAGACUCCUACGGGAGGCAGCAGUAAGGAAUAUUGGUCAAUGGAGGCAACUCUGAACCGGCCAUGCCGCGUGCAGGAUGACGGCCCUAUGGGUUGUAAACUGCUUUUGUACCAGAGAAAACCUACUCACGUGUGAGUAGCUGAUAGUAUGGUAAGAAUAAGCAUCGGCUAACUUCGUGCCAGCCGCCGCUGUAAUAC
rnacentral:rRNA from 1 species